GAAUUGCAGAAACGGCUCAUUCUUAUGUUCGGUGUCAAAAAAUAAUCCCGCCAAAUCCGACUCGAGUAAAGGGGAAUCUCUCGUUUGGAUUAUGUCAAGGUGAAAUGUAUCUUCUAGCAUCGUUUUGUUUUUGAAGAUUUUGCCAAUGAGUUAUGGAGUUCUUAUGACUAUCCUCAACAGCUUAAUUCCCUUCCAAGAGGCAGCUGGAGGCAAUGUAGGAGACGCUAAUUCAAAAGAUUCGAUGCUAAUAUUUCUCGGGGCGGACGCCCGGUAUGAUGGAUGUGGUUAUUAUGGAUGUGGUCGCAGAUACAGAAGACCAUAUCGUCGUUACCCUCGUCCUUAUUACCCUCCUUAUUACCCUCGCCCUUAUUACCCUCCCCCUCCCGUUUAUUACCCUCCCCCUCCCGUUUAUUACCCUCCCCCAUAUGGAUAAAACAAAUAGCUUUGAUGACCAACAUGGAGGGCUUACGUGGAAUCAUUAUUAUUUAU